rnacentral:rRNA from 1 species
UACGAAGGGGGCUAGCGUUGCUCGGAAUUACUGGGCGUAAAGGGCGCGUAGGCGGACAUUUAAGUCGGGGGUGAAAGCCCGGGGCUCAACUCCGGAAUUGCCUUUAAGACUGCAUCGCUAGAAUUGUGGAGAGGUAAGUGGAAUUCCGAGUGUAGAGGUGAAAUUCGUAGAUAUUCGGAAGAACACCAGUGGCGAAGGCGACUUACUGGACACAUAUUGACGCUGAGGUGCGAAAGCGUGGGGAGCAAACAGG